rnacentral:rRNA from 1 species
AGAUCCAAUUUUCUGCCACCGAAUACAUUAGCAUGGGAUAAUGGAAUAGGACCCUGUCCUCCUAUUUUCAGUUGGUUUUGGCAGCGCGAGGACUAGGGUAAUGAUUAAUAGGGAUAGUUGGGGGCAUUAAUAUUUAAUUGUCAGAGGUGAAAUUCUUGGAUUUAUGAAAGAUUAACUUCUGCGAAAGCAUCUGCCAAGGAUGUUUUCAUUAAUCAAGAACGAAAGUUAGGGGAUCGAAGACGAUCAGAUACCGUCGUAGUCUUAACCAUAAACGAUGCCGACCAGCGAUUAGGAGACGUUGAAUACAAAACACCACCAUCGGUGCGGUCGUCCUUGGCGUCUCGGUCCUUCACGGGGCCGGGGCGCGGGGGUGGCUUAGCCC